UAAUUUUCUAAAAAUGAACAAGUGUUAUUGAUACAGUAUCCAAAUUGCUAUAUUCUAAUUUCAAUAAUAUGAAACCAUUAGAAUUUUAAGUAUAGACAUAAAGUUACUAAUUUGAAUAGCAGAUUUUAUAAACACAUUUUUUUCAUGCUACUCCACUUAAUAAUGGGAUACAUUUGCAUGGAAUACUAAUCAAAAAAUACUUUAUUCUACUUCAUUAAUAUUUGCCAAUACUCACAAUCAGAUGAUUAUUUGAUAGAUAAGCCGAUAGACAGAUAGAUAAAUGAUAGAUAGAUAGACAGAUAGAUAGAUAGAUAGAUAGAUAGACAGAUAGGUAGUCAAGUCAGUCUGGCUCAACUCUUUCUUGACCAUUUUACAGGAGAUGAAACAGAUUUUGAGAGGUAAAUUGUACAAGGUCCUUCAAUUAAAAAGUGGCAAUAUCGAAGUUCAAACUUUAGUCUUCCUGGUAUCAAAAUGCAUUUCAUCCACUCUAGAUUCUGCCUUUCUUAGCUAAAUUCAUCCUCACCAAAACACCAUGAAGUAGAUAGUGGAGUUGGCAGCUGUUCAUUUACUCUUGAGAAAUAGAUCUUUGAGAUAUUAAAUAAUUUGCUUAGGAUUUCAUAGCUGAUGAGUGGUAUAAUAAUAUCUCAAAUCUUCUGGUUUUUAAUUUAUACUUUUUCCAUAACCUAUGCAACCCAUGACCACCAUUUAGUUUUUACUGAUAUUAACAUAGAGUAUUUUAUCCCAGGCAAUAAAAUUUUAACUAUGUAUACUGAAUGCAUAUUUUAAAUAUUAAGUUAAGUAUGUAACUUGCCCUAUGCCAUAUUUCUUUAAUCAGGGGACUGAGCAUCACAUUUAGAUUUGUUGAGUUUGGGAAAAGUUCUCAAACAUCCAGACCCAUGGACCUUAAGAAUUACUGCAGAAAUCUCCUUCAAUAUAGUCAUAGGGAGCAUUAAUGCUUUUGUGGUACUAAACAUAUUUUUGAGCUUAGAUACAAAUCCUACUUUUCCUGAACUGAUAGGGUAGGAAUUGUUUAGGUGCUUCAAAUCCAGAUCUUUCAGGGGUUGCCACCUAAACUCAUCUUUAUGAGUAACUCUAGAUAAUAAUACACUUUGGUAUCUUCCAAAGUGCUUAUCUAUGCAUGGAAAAGUUCAGUAAUUAUCAUGAGGACUGUUUGUAGUUUAGUUCUUUUUGAAUUUUAGUGAAUAGAAAUAUCAUUCAUGCCUUAACACAUGAGGGAAAUCCCUUAAAGGUAACUACUCAUUAUCCUUUGGGUUAAUCCAUUUUCAUGUCCAAAAAAUGGACUAUCAUUUCCACAGGCUCAUGCAAAAGAACAAGCACAGGUGUAGUGAAUUUAUCCUUCUCUUUAUGUGGCCUGAAAAUUUCACCCUGUAGUCACUUCAUCAAAAUAUCUUUACUCCUUUCAUCAUAAUCUAUUUCCAAAAAGAAGGAGCAAAAGGCAUUGUUAAUUUUUAAAUGUGGAACUAUGAAAUAAAUAAUAGUUCACACAAUAAUUCAUAAAAUAUGAAUGGUACUCUUUUAAAAAAGUCCCAGAACCCCUUCCUGUGUUUCUCUUAAAAAAAAAAAUACGAUUACAUCUUUGUUGUUACAAGAGUGUUUAUCACCUUUACAACUACUGGGCUUCAUUUUCGACUAAAGAGAUCUAUAUUCUAAACCUAUCAGUAAUACCUAUGCUAUAACAAGCUCUUAUCAAUGCUCAUAUAGUUCCUGUCUCCUGGAGCAUGCAAUUUUAGAUUCAUUUUGCUUUUAUUAAAUUGAUCUCACUUCCUCCAACAUUUUUAUUUCAUUAGCGUAAAACAAAAUGGAGCUUAAUGAUUCCUUAAGGCUGAAAUAAAGGACAAAAUAUUUUGUUGGCAAAAAGUAGUUGGUAAUAAUGCUAAAAUAUUUUCAGAUACAACUAAAAUAGAGUUGACUAGAAAAAAGAGAAACAUAAUUUGGAUAUGAACAUUAAUUUAAAAAUGCAAACAUUUUGAAAUGUUAGUACAACACAAUUUUAUUUCUGAAUGAGAAUGGUUAUUUGUCCUCAUGUCUUCAUCAUUUAAAUGAAUAAACUUUGUUUUUCUUAUCAUGGAUCAACUAAUUGCAUUGAAGUUUUUCCACAUAAAAUAGAAAUAGUUAUCUCUCAGACAUUAACUUUGUAAGAAGCCUGCUGCCAUUGAGCACUGAUAUAGUCAUUUAUUUUGGAAGAGCUGCAUUCUGACUAUGAGAAAAUACUUCUCCAAAAUCAAUUUGCUUUAAAGUUUGGGAAGUGGCCAUUCUUUUAUACGAUACUCUUCCUCCCACUUCAAAAUAUUUACUGUAAAAAUAUACACAAAAUGUGAGAACCAAAAUAUUUUAAAAACUUGAACAGUUUGGAGGUAACCAAGACAUAUAUUCUAAAAUAUUAUGAGGGUAGGUGAAUAAAUAAAGGCUUCUAUUUAAAAAUAUGGAAGGCAGUCAAGUAAACAAAGAAAGAAAAAGAACAAAGUGGGGAAAUAAUACGGGUUUCUGUGAUUGUCAUUGCUCAGAAUAUGAGGAUCUGUUUGGAAAAGGAAAAUAAAGCAUAUUGACUUAUUAGUUCACUUCUAAAAAUACAUACUACUUAAAGCAAGGCAAUUAUAUAAUUUAAAAAAUAGAUACAUAUGCAUAUUACUAAAAUAUAUACAUAUAUAAUAUAAAAUUACAUAUAUACUUAUAUACAAAUCAAAACCAUCAGUGCAAUAAUUCCUUUGCUUUUUAGAAACAAUCACUAUCAUAUGCAAUUAAUUUCAAGUUUGAAUACAGUAUAUUGAUAGACACUACAGUUAUUUCUAGAAUGAAGUCAUUAUUUUAUGUUGGUAACGUGGUUUGGCUUAACGUAGUUAAAUUUAAAUGUAACUAAAUAUACUUAAGAAUUAAUUUAAAAUUUUAGAUUUGAAAGUAUCUGAAAUUGUCUAAUAUGGUCAAAGUCUAGACAUUACUUCUUUGCAUUUGCAUUUUACAUUUUUUUCUUUUUGACUUAUCUGUUUUGAAGUGGAUUUCUACUAAAUUUCUGUACUGCAUUUUAUAUGGUGUUGCUGGAAACUAUGUAUUGAUUUUUUUCCUAUGGCUUCUGUGGUAGAGGAACUAAUGUGCAACUGACCUUGUAAAUGAUAUUCAACAACUCUAGAGGGAAGACACAUCUCCAGUUAAAAAUGAAGGGUGCACAUGGGUUACUCAACAUGUGAGUCAUCAAGAAAUGCAAUACUGUGCAAUGACUGGUGAAUCACAGUCUCUAAAGGAAGCUUUUUGAGAUUUUUACACAGAUGGCUAUGCAAAGCAUAAAUAAGUGUGAGGAGGAAGGGAAAAGAAAGGAGGGAAAAAAUAAAUGUGUGGGAGGACAGGCAACUGCAACUUUCAUUGUUCUUUAUUUUCUUGACCAUUGAACUAACUACUUAGAUAAACCCUACAACUCUUCUCUUCAAUUGCCAUUACAUGUCCACAUAGCCUUUUAAAAACUCUAAAUUUCACCUCAUUCAAUUUAGAAUUUUUUUUUUAACUUUACACCUUGUAAGUGAUUUGGGGAAUGAGUUUCUGUGUUGUUUACAUAAUGCUCUCGUCUAUGCUGUGAUAGGUUGCGUGACAGCAGGAACCCCACGCCUUACAGUCUACAAAGACCCAGUACAGGAUAGACAGUAGAGGGGAGGAAGGAAGGCCUCCCAAAGUUAUUUUUACACCUUUAUAAUUUAUUCCAAUAACUUUUUAAACUCUGUCUCUUGCUUCUCCACCUUCACUUGUCACAAUUCAAAUCAAGUUGAAAAUAUUUUAAAAUAAGAAACUGAUUGGCUGGGUGCAGUGGCUUACACCUUAAUUCUGGCACUUUGGGAGGGUGAAACAGGAGGAUUCCUUGAGCCCAGGAGUUCAAGACCAGCCUGGACAACAUAGGGAGAACCUAUCUCUACAAAAAAAUUAAAAAAUUAGCUGGGCGUCAUGCCAUGCGCUUGUGGUCUCAGCUACUUGGGAGACUGAGGCCAGAUAAUUGCUUGAGUCAGGGAGGUCAAGGCUGCAAUGAGCUGUGGUCACACCAUUGCACUUCAGCCUGGGAAACAGAGUGAGCUCCUGUUUCAAAACAUAAAUAAAUAAAUAAAUAAAUAAAUAAAUAAAUAAAUAAGAAGCUGAUUAACUUUUACUGUAGCCCAUACAGUAGAUGUAUCACUGACCAUGUUAAAUAUAUACAACUCAAAUAACUUUGUGUUGCAAUUGUCUAGACAUUCUGCUACCCAUAGAGUCAGGUCCACACUCCCUACCAUGGUAUUAAAAAUUUUUCAUAUUCUGAGCCCAGAAGAUUUAGCAGCUUCAAACAUCCUUCUUCUCCCUCUACUCACUUUGUUUUUCAGUGACACCUGUCUAAUAUUUAUGUGCUUUUUUUCUAACAUAUGAAUUGUUAUACCAAGUUGCCCCCCUUAAUAACCCUUUUUUUCUCACAUGCCUUGUCUGUUUCUCUUCACAGAUAAUGUCUACUCAUCUCUUUGGUAGAUAAGAACUAUUCAAACCUUUCCAGAGUGUUUUCGGGGACUUAAUAUUUAAAGAUAAGAUACCAUAAAAACAGAAAAAAGAUUUAGGGGUUAUCUAGCCCAAUCUUUUCAUUUUGUGGCUAAGGAAACUGAAGCACAAAGAAAGAAUACUGCCCAAAGUUAUACAGUAAUAAAUUAUACAAUCAUGACUAACUAUCUAUGACUUGCCAGUCUCUAUAGCAGUGAUCACAUGAGCCUUUGAUUCAGAUGGUUCUGGCCUUAACCUUGGGAACUUCUGGACGUUACCUCAUGUAACCUUUCUGAAUCUAAAUUAAACUUGGGAAUAAAAAUAUCCAGAAUAGUGAUUUGUCUUCCCUGAUUACCACUUCAGUCAUUUAGUCUACCCACAACAUGUUCUUACUUUCCGAGAUAACUGGAAGCUACCGUAACAGCAGAAGAUAGUAAUUAGAACACAGACUGUGGAAGUAUACAUAUAUAAAUGUAUUUUUUUUUUCAAAUUCAAAUCUUAAGCCCACUACUUACCACCUUGGUACUCUGGGCAAAUGAGUUAAAUGUGUGUCAAUUUCCUCAUUGGUAAACUGAGAAUAAUUAAUUUGUUUAAUGCAUUCAAACAUAUUUAUUCAGAGAAUUCUAUUCUAGGCUAUAAGGAUUUAGUUGUAAACCAUACAAAUAAAAUACCCGUUGCAAUGGAGCUUCCAUUCUGGUAGUAGAGGACACAUAAUAAACUGACAGACUAAUGAUACCCGUCUUCUCCUACCUGCACAGUGCAUGUGCAUGUGCUGUCUCCUUCCUGGAAUUUUCUUCCCACAGAAGUCUAAAGAGUUAGCUCCCUCUCACCAUUCAAAUUCUUGUUUAAAAGUCACCUUCACUGGUUACCUACUUUAAAUUUAAAUCCCACCCUCAUCACGGUUCAUAUUCCCUUUCCUGUUCUGUUAGUUUUCAAGUGUUAGUCCUAUUUUUUUCUAAUACACCACGUCUUUUACCUAUUUAUCUUUAUGUUUCAUCUUUCUCACUAAAAUGUAAACUGCAUGAGCACAGGGACAUUUUUCUAUUUUGCCGUCUGCCAUAUCCCAAGAUCUUAGAACAGUGCCUGGUAUGUAUCAGGUGUUUGUUACCUAUUUACUAAAGGACUGAAUUAGUAUCUAAUGUAAUAUUCUAUGGUGAUAUUUGCAAUUAAGCAAAACAAACAACAAACAAACAAAAAACCACAGUAAGUUGAUAGAGUAAGUAAGGUACUAUUAUUGAUUGGGUGGUGAGGGAAGGCCUCCCUGAGAGGGUAACUUUUGACUAGAGACAUGAAUGAAGUGAGAAACAUGAGUCAUGGUUCCAACUAAUGGUCAAGCGUUCUAGACAGAGACAACAGCAUGCACAAAGGCCCUGAGGCUAUUUCAUAUUUAGCAUGCUCUGCAAAUGGAAAAGAAGCAUUUGUGACAAGAGAAGAGUGAGUGAAAAGAAGAUGGGAAACAAAAUGCGAGAAACAGUUCAGACCAUUCAUAUAAGCGGUGGUGAGGACUUUAGAUUUAAUCAUGUGACUGCCUACCAAGAUGUAGUGUUGAGAGGUAUUGAAGAGAAAGCAUGUAUAAUUCUGUUCUCAAGCUGCUAAUAAAGACAUACCUGAGAUUGGGUAAUUUAUAAAGGAAAGAGGUUUAAUGGACUCACAGUUCCACAUGGUUGGGGAGGCUGCACAUCAUGAUUAUGAUGGAAGAUGAAGAAAGAGCAAAGGGACGUCUUACAUGGUAGGAGGCAAGACAGCUUGUGCAGGGGAACUCCCGUUUAUAAAACCAUCAGAUCUCGUGAGACUUAUUCACUAGCAUGAGAACAGUACAGAGAAAACAGCCUACAUGAUUCAAUUAUCUCCACCUGACUCUGCCCUUGACACCUGGGGAUUAUUACAAUUCAAAGGUGGAUAUGGGUGGGGACACAGCCAAACCAUAUCAGAGCACUUAGCAGAAUAGCAGGCAUGUACACAAAUAUUCAAUGCAAGUUAUUUAUUACUAUGGACUGAUUCACAGUUAUAAGUUACAAACAAGGACAACGAAAAGAGAAGUGAACACUUAAUUUCAUUCCCUAUGUAUAUACUUGAUGUCAACAAUGCAAAACACACAGACAGAAGGCAACUUAGGUUUGAAAGGGAUGUGUGUAAAGCUUUACUGAAGAAAGUAUGUAAAGACUAAUAAAAAGAUGGAUUGGGCCCGGCUGAGGCAGGAGAAUGGCGUGAAUCCGGGAGGCGGAGCUUGCAGUGAGCCGAGAUAGCACCACUACACUCCAGAGCUGGACAACAGAGUGAGACCCUAUCUCAAAAAGAAAAAAAGAAAUGGAUUGUAGUCUUAUUUUCAAAAAAUGUGCAUUACAUGUAGCAGUCACACUCAUAGAACCUGAAAUAUUUUAGUCCUAAUCUGUGUUAUCGAUUUUUCUGCACUUACACUCAUAAUAUAUAGCUGAAUUUUAUUAAAUAAUGAGUCAAUAGAAUAACAAUAGUAUUCAGUUCGAAGAAUUUGUUUAUUUCAAGCUACUGUUUGUUCUCAUAAACACUCCAAAAUAUUACCAGACAGUUCAUUUCACCCCUUUAAAAUGUCUUCCCUUGGAGGAAAUGAUCCAGUAUUGUUGAUUACCUCAAUCUAAAUUUUAUAUAUAUUUAUAAUUAUUCUAAGUCAGAAAGUGAAAGGUAACUUUUAAAAGAUUAUGCUUUAUUAUAUGCCUUAUCAAUGAAGACUUUUUUUAUUCAUUAUGAUUUUCUACAUUCAGCACAUUCUCUGGAAUUUUCAAUAAACAUGAUGACAUUUCUGAAGAGAAAAUUUUUAAAUCACCAAGUAACUCAUUGUGAAGGUGGCUAUCAUUUCAAUGUAACACCAAAGUGUCUUCUUUCAACCUUACCUGAGAAAGAGGAAAGUGUUUUCAUACACAAAAAUAAAACAAAAUCCGAGUUUUUGAGGAUUUUUAAAACUAGAAGCCAUGCUUAUACUUUGUUAUUUAGUUCAAUUCUUUAUGUAAGAGUAAGCAUCUAGCACACUUAGCAGAUUUUGUCAUAUUAAAAAGCAUGUGCUAUAUUUAGUUCCAAAAGGAGUUAUAGAAAUUGAUUGAAAAAAUUCACAUGAAGUUGGUAGAAUAUAUAGGCUUUUAAUUAUUUUACUUGUCUAAAGGGUACAUCAAUUAGACAGACUGCCUACUAUACAUCAUAAAUUAAUCCCAUUCAUUCUAAAAACUUGUUCAUUUUUUCACAACUUUGAAAUUUGGUUGUCCUAAUUAAUCGCUGUUGUAUAAUUCAGGCACUUGAGCCUCUGCAAGGGCUGCGUUUUUCCAGCUUGUAAUCACACAUUCAACAAACAGCCAAGUGCUGCAGACAAUGGGUCCUUCACGCUCCUCUGAGACAGACUAUCUGUCUCUGAUUUAUGGGCUGAGUCCUUCUUGAGAGAAAUGCCUGGGUGGGGACAAUGCACAGCCUCAGGCAGAUUACUUGCCUUGGUUUUUGGCCAUAUCACCUGAAAGCUGUCACUUGAGCACGGGCAAAGAGCUAAGAGGCCCCUUGGAAUAUUCCCUAAAAGAAACAAAUCCACCGCAGGAUCAGCCUCUUCAGGUUACAUCUGCUUUUUAAAAUCCCAGUGCUGAGAAGUGCGCUGUACCCAGAGGCUCUGAUUCUGCAUUUCCUCACGGAAGGCAAAAGAACCUGCAGCGAAGGACCCUGGUGGAUGUGAAUGAACACUGCCAACUCAGGCCUUCCCAGCUCAUUAGACGCAGCAAAAAGGGUCAGCCCUUGCCAUCCUGAAAUUUGCUGUCAGAGUUCUUGGACUACAACAUGACUGUUCCCUGCUUCAAACAAACGGAAAAUGAUUCUUAACUUAGGCUAUUCUUAAUUUAAAUGAAUACAUUUUAAAUGAAAUGAAUUUAAAAUGAAAAAAAAGUAUUCUAUCUGACCUUUCCUAUUUUCCUUUUAUUUUAUAUAAUGAUGCAGAGAAAUUACUUACAGUGAGUGUUUAAUAAAGCAAACAUAGAAAGCAAAAACAAAACAAAACCAAAAAAAAUGUCACCUAGAACUUCAUUGAUUUUGGGGAAAUCUACUGCCUAAAUCAUCUCAGCAAGAAAUCCUAGAGAAAAAGGCAACACAUUAUUCUGCUCAUUGAUUCUUCUGGUAAUUGCAGUGGCACGAAGAGGGCCAUGACUCUGCCACAUAUGCCAACAUGGAUCCAGGACCUGUUCUGAUGUGUGACAAUGCACACGGAUUUUGUAGAGAGAAUUGCAGACCUCAGAAAUGAGCUUUGUGCCUGGACAGACAAGAAUUUAGAAAAUUUCUGUUGUAUGGAAUUCCCACUUCUCAUUUUCUAUUGUUCUGUAGACUUAGCAUAAUUUUACUUUUUUAAGAGUCUAAUUAUUUACAUAUUAAUGUAUAUAGGUUGGGUCGGAGGUAGGAGACAAGACAGAAAAGCAUAAAUAACUCUCAAAGUGAUAUAAUUGUUAACAAAUUACCUUAAUAUCUAUAUUAAUAUGAAAUGUUGGUAAAUAUCACAUAAUAUAAGUAUCUCACAUGGAUCCAAGAUGAUUUGAAUUUUUUUACAUUUUUUAAAGAUAUCAAUUAAUUAAUGGGAAGAUAUAUUGAAAAAAUACUAUUUUAAGGUCUGAUGUAUAUUUCUGCAAGGCAAAUUUUGGCUCUGUCUUCAAGUCUUGGUUUACCAUUUGCCAUUUCAAAUAUUGAAAAAUAAGCGAUUUAUUUGAAGAAGAGAAGGAAGAGGAAGGGAGAAAAAAUAUCGAGAAGUUUAAGAACCAGCCUUGGAAAGGCUAAUAUCCAGAAUCUACAAAGAACUCAAACAAAUUUGCAAGAAAAAAACAACCCCAUCAAAAAGUGGGCAAAGGAUGUGAACAGACACUUCUCAGAAGAAGACAUUUAUGCAGCCAAGAGACACAUGAAAAAAUGCUCAUCAUCACUGGCCAUCAGAGAAAUGCAGAUCAAAACCACAAUGAGAUAACAUCUCACACCAGUUAGAAUGGUGAUCAUUAAAAGGUCAGGAAACAACAGGUGCUGGAGAGAAUGCGGAGAAAUGGGAACACUUUUACACUGUUGGUGGGACUGUAAACUGGUGCAACCAUUGUGGAAGACAGUGUGGUGAUUCCUCAGGGAUCUAGAACUAGAAAUACCAUUUGACCCAGCCAUCCCAUUACUGGGUAUAUACCCAAAGGAUUAUAAAUCAUGCUGCUAUAAAGACAUAUGCACACAUAUGUUUAUUGUGACACUAUUCACAAUAGCAAAGACUUGGAACCAACCCAAAUGUCCAACAAUGAUAGACUGGAUUAAGAAAAUGUGGCACAUAUACACUAUGGAAUACUAUGCAGCCAUAAAAAAUGAUGAGUUCAUGUCCUUUGUAGGGACAUGGAUGAAGCUGGAAACCAUCAUUCUCAGCAAACUAUCCCAAGGACAAAAAACCAAACACCGCAUGUUCUCACUCAUAGGUGGGAAUUGAACAAUGAGAACACUUGGACACAGGAAGGGGAACAUCACACACUGGUGCCUGUUGUGGGAUGGGAGGUGGGGAGGGAUAGCAUUAGGAGAUAUACCUAAUGUAAAUGAUGAGUUAAUGGGUGCAGCACACCAGCAUGGCACAUGUAUACAUAUGUAACUAACCUGCACAUUGUGCACAUGCACCCUAGAACUUAAAGUGUAAUAAAAAUAUAUUAAAAAAAGAGAAAAAAGAAAAACAAGAAAAAAAAAGAAAAUUGCUAAAUUUCCAAUAAAAGUAGAGCCUUUAGUUUC